GCUCCAAAUUUAAACAUUUUUCAACGCAUCCUAUCACAACCUUUGAUAGAAGAUAUCUCAAAAUUUCCAACCCUUGAAAUAAAGUCCAAAAUUAAAAUACAAAAGGGAAAGCUCAUUUUUGUUCACGUUCCACAAUCAGAAAAUUCUCUCAAAAUCGGAGCUCAUCUCAGAAAAUUCUCUCAAAAUCGAUCUGAGCUCAUCUCAGGAAACUCAAAGAUCGGAGCUCAUCUCAUCUCCGACGGGUUGAUUUGCGGUGGUCAGCUAUCUCAUCUCCGACGACAAGCGAGCCGUUGAUCGACUGAGCACUCUUCGCCACCCCAUUUUCCGAUUACAGGUCUGUCUUUCUCUGUUUGUUUCCCGACAAAUUAUGGAAAUUACAUAGCAGAACUAUCCAAACAAUUUUUGGUAUUCUCUCUCGUUUUCUCUCUCUCCAUCGGUAGAUAUUUCUCUUCCUCACCAUCGGUAUAAUUUGGGGGCUAGGAUUUGGAUUACAUGUCCAUUGGUAUAAUUUGGGGGCUAGGGUUUGGAUUACAUGUCCUUUGGAAUCUGAAGUAUGGGUUGGAUCUAAGAGGCUUGAACAUAUUAUAUUGAAGAAAUGCUUAAAAAGGAGUUUCUAAGUGUUAAUGGUGUGGUAUAACAAUAGUAUCAAUUUAAGAAUGGGUUGGAUCUAGGAGGUUUUUGGCGGUGCUAUGUUUGUUAAUUUUUGUUUUCCAGUAUUUUAUCUGAGAGUUUGAUGCUGAUUUUGAAAAUUCUCUGUGUAUGUUAAUUAUUGAAAAUCAGCUAUAAUAUAGGUUUCCCCAAUGGAUAUAUUGAUUAUACCAGUGCAGUGCAAGUCUUUGUGUGUCUCAUGCUAUUUAUGCUAAAAUCAAUGCAAUUUGAUUAACCAUUUUUAUUGGUUUUUUGUGUUAUGGAGGUUUUUUGAGUUCCCUAAUUUUGAAAGGACUGGACCAUGUGAUAUCAAGAAGUUGCUACAAAUUUAUAAUUUAUACAUUUGAAACUUGUGUUAAAGAGUACACUUCUCUGUAGGAAAUUUGGAGUAAACACAAAAUCUUUUGUAGCUGGACUUCCAAAAAUCAUUAACAAUGUCAUACCUAGCUCAUCUCCUAGUGUAAUCUACGAUUAAAUCACAAAACAAUCUUCAUUUGUUUGUCACACAUGAUUCAGAUCAUAGACAAAGCCUUUUAGAUUUUAAUCAUUUUGCCAACAGAUUAACUUAUACAAUAUGGAUAGAUUAUUUAUGGUAGAUAAUGAAGAUCAAUCUCAAAGAGAAAAUCCCAUUAGGAAGGUCAAGGAUUUAGCUGAGGAACAAAAUGAGCAUAACCUCUACGCAUUCACUCCCAAAGGAAAGUGAGGAAGAUAAUGCCUCUCAAAAUAUCAUAUAUGGUCCAUAUGAUGAUGCAAUUACUGGUAAGAUUAGAAAAUGAUGGAAUUCUUUGUCCCAUUCCUCAUUACCCUUUACACUCUGCUUCAAUUGAUCUCCAUGGUGGCACACUGGUUCCUUACUAUCUCAAUGAAGCAACAGGAUGGGGAUUGUAAGUCUCUUCACUUAAGAAGCAAUUGGAGGUUGCCAAGUCCCAAGGCAUCAUAGUUAGGGCUUUAAAUGUUAUAAAUCCCAGAAACCCAACAGGCCAGGUGUGCUAUUAGUAGGUUUGAAGAAGUAGAGAUUUGACUAGCAAAGUACCUAAAGUUCACGUAAAAGAGAAUGCAUUGCUAUGUGUCUAUUUUUGUCCCUGUACAUUAUAUGAUUUUUCUGUUGUACCUGCAGGUUCUUGUGAGGAGAACCAGCGUGACAUUGUGGAAUUCUGCAGGAAAGGUCUUGUGCUACUGGCAAAUGAGAUCAACAAGACUAUUCUGGUGCUCAUACAUAUGAAAGGAUUGAUGUGGAGGGAUCUUUCCAUACUGAAUGGUUCAAGCUUGCCAAACAGUGUAAUAUAAGUUUUGGAGUUUUAUUUCAGUGGUCUUUUGGCCAAGGAUGUUACAGUGGAAAACCUCCCCAACUUGGUUAAAUCAGGUCUUAAAUUUGAGGAGAUAGAAAAUGAUGUGAGUACUCGAGAUUAUAUAAAAAGGAUAUGGGACUUCACGGGAUCACUCUAUAACAUUGAAUCCAUGGAAUUCAGCAUAGAAACUGCAGAGGUAUGGACAUGUUACGUUUUUCAUGCUCUAACUCUCUUAUCAUUAAUUAAAUUGCUCAAUGCUACUUAAUAAUAUUUGACUUCCUUGACGUUUGGUGGUUGUAUUAGGUCUUGUUAUUAUAUGUGGCCUGCAGUACAAUUCUUGUUUUGUCAGGCUCCAAAGGUACAAACACUUGUCUUUGAAUUGACAUUCCUAGGUAGCCAUGAUGGUUACCCACCUGAAAAUCGCUUGGAAGAUCGCUUGGAGAAGUGGCUUUACGUUCCUGAAUGUUUGUCAUCACAUCUUACAGUCUGUUAUAAUAAGGAAUUUUCAGGGCAUGAAGUUGAGAUGAACUUGUUCGACAAGUCUUGAAGGAAGCAAAUAUAUUAAAGACAAUGAAAAUCACUUUUGAAAGUCGUCUAGACUCAGAGAUAAAGCUUUGUGCUUGCAAGAAAUUAAGAAAGCUUCAAAGGAGGUAUCCUACUUGCCAAUUUGAAUUUGACGAAGGACAAGUUGAUUUUUAAGUUCUCUUUCUUAAUUUGUGAGAAGCAAUAGCUUUAUGGGAAUGGCCAUUGGUCUUUGCAUCUUUCAUUUUAGUUUGGAAAUGUGUAUUUUGUCCAUUGGUUUGUUUAGUGCAGCUAUUUGCCCUAUGUUUGUGUGUUUUUGUUGAGGAGGUCAUUUAGACUUUUUAUAGCAGCUUUGGUUGUGUUUUGUGCAGCCACUAGGCUGAUUUGGGUGUUGUAUGGCUACUGGCCUUUUGUUCCUGCACAAAGUAGUUUGUUUUCUUGUGCAUGAUUUAAAUUCUUGUAUUUUGAA